UGUAAAUCACGUGUGAUUUGCAAGUCACGCCUCUUUUGGGGAGAAAUUGAAUGUGCACUAAAUACUGCUACUGUUUACAUAGUUGUUGCCAUGGAUGCAAAGUUUUUUUUUUUUAAUUAAGACUUGAUUGGAGAAUUAAAUGGAUAUAAAUAAAAAUGUCUAUUUAUUUAACUUAUUUUUCAGGAGGACUGGAAGACAUUUGGGUGUUGAGUCAAAUUUAAUGGAAAAAUUCAGUGCGAACCUGCAAUGUUUAUAAAUGGAGGGCAGUAAAACUUGAAAAUAUGCCGCACAGCUAUAUGUUUUUAUUAGUGCAAAAAAAAGUAGUGCAUGUCUCCUUUCCAGGGAAAUCUAACAUUCUCCUCAAAACUUCCUGAAUGAAGAGUGACUGCAUAUGCAAUUUAGGCAGUUCCUAUGGAAAAUUGCAUUGCUGGUUUUACACAAGUGCAACCUAUAAGACCAUGGGCAGCACGACUUCCUGGUUCGAUGGGAACCCCAGCCGCUUGACAGAGUUUCACGAUGGAUUCUCCAGGGCCAUUAUUUACGUUAUGUAUAGCUGUAUGUACCCUUCCUUUAUAGUUUCUGAAACAACAUUAGCACUGUGUUGCAUACUUGAAGUGGAAGGAGCUGGUAUAUUAGAACCAAGAAAUAAUUUCUGUAGACCAGUUGUGCUGAUAGCUAUGUGAUUAAGUGCGACUUGUAUGGAUAGAUUAAUAGCUGCUGUUCGACGACCACGUUUCUUUGAGAUCACCUCAUUGUAAAGGUUGAACAUUUUUGAAUGCACAUUUUUCAACUUCUGUUUUUGUCGGAGGCUUCGGCCUUAGAAAGCGAGCUGAUUUUGUAGAGGCAGGAAUGAGUUGAACAUUCUUAUUAUGAACAGAUUUAGUCACUAAGUCAUACAAGUCUUUUGGUAGUCUCACAAAUUUGCCUUUUUCAGCAGGAGGACUGGAAGACAUUUGGGUGUUGAGUCAAAUUUAAUGGAAAAAUUCAGUGCGAACCUGCAAUGUUUAUAAAUGGAGGGCAGUAAAACUUGAAAAUAUGCCGCACAGCUAUAUGUUUUUAUUAGUGCAAAAAAAAGUAGUGCAUGUCUCCUUUCCAGGGAAAUCUAACAUUCUCCUCAAAACUUCCUGAAUGAAGAGUGACUGCAUAUGCAAUUUAGGCAGUUCCUAUGGAAAAUUGCAUUGCUGGUUUUACACAAGUGCAACCU